rnacentral:rRNA from 1 species
AGCGGCGAGCGAACGGGGAACAGCCCAGAGCCUGAAUCAGCUUGUGUGUCAGUGGAACGGUCUGGAAAGGCCGGCGAUACAGGGUGACAGCCCCGUACACGAAGGCACACAGGCUGUGAGCUCGAUGAGUAGGGCGGGACACGUGAUAUCCUGUCUGAAGAUGGGGGGACCAUCCUCCAAGGCUAAAUACUCCUGACUGACCGAUAGUGAACCAGUACCGUGAGGGAAAGGCGAAAAGAACCCCGGCGAGGGGAGUGAAACAGAACCUGAAACCGUGUACGUACAAGCAGUGGGAGCCUUCGUAAGAGGGUGACUGCGUACCUUUUGUAUAAUGGGUCAGCGACUUAUAUUCUGUAGCAAGGUUAACCGUAUAGGGGAGCCGAAGGGAAACCGAGUCUUAACCGGGCGUUAAGUUGCAGGGUAUAGACCCGAAACCCGGUGAUCUAGCCAUGGGCAGGUUGAAGGUUGGGUAACACUAACUGGAGGACCGAACCGACUAAUGUUGAAAAAUUAGCGGAUGACCUGUGGCUGGGGGUGAAAGGCCAAUCAAACCGGGAGAUAGCUGGUUCUCCCCGAAAGCUAUUUAGGUAGCGCCUCGUGAACUCAUCUCCGGGGGUAGAGCACUGUUUCGGCUAGGGGGCCAUCCCGGCUUACCAACCCGAUGCAAACUGCGAAUACCGGAGAAUGUUAUCACGGGAGACACACGGCGGGUGCUAACGUCCGUCGUGAAGAGGGAAACAACCCAGACCGCCAGCUAAGGUCCCAAAGUCAUGGUUAAGUGGGAAACGAUGUGGGAAGGCCCAGACAGCCAGGAUGUUGGCUUAGAAGCAGCCAUCAUUUAAAGAAAGCGUAAUAGCUCACUGGUCGAGUCGGCCUGCGCGGAAGAUGUAACGGGGCUAAACCAUGCACCGAAGCUGCGGCAGCGACACUAUGUGUUGUUGGGUAGGGGAGCGUUCUGUAAGCCUGUGAAGGUGUGCUGUGAGGCAUGCUGGAGGUAUCAGAAGUGCGAAUGCUGACAUAAGUAACGAUAAAGCGGGUGAAAAGCCCGCUCGCCGGAAGACCAAGGGUUCCUGUCCAACGUUAAUCGGGGCAGGGUGAGUCGACCCCUAAGGCGAGGCCGAAAGGCGUAGUCGAUGGGAAACAGGUUAAUAUUCCUGUACUUGGUGUUACUGCGAAGGGGGGACGGAGAAGGCUAUGUCGGCCGGGCGACGGUUGUCCCGGUUUAAGCGUGUAGGCUGACUUUCCAGGCAAAUCCGGAAAGUUAAGGCUGAGGCGUGAUGACGAGGCACCACGGUGCUGAAGUGACAAAUGCCCUGCUUCCAGGAAAAGCCUCUAAGCAUCAGGUAACAUCAAAUCGUACACGAAACCGACACAGGUGGUCAGGUAGAGUAAACAAAGGCGCUUGAGAGCACUCGGGUGAGGGAACCAGGCAA